GGCCGGAUUCGCUGCUACGCCGCCUGGUGGAUGGCUCGGCUCGGGCGCCGACGAAGGGGGGUGGCAAGCUGCCAAAAGCCCCGGGGAGCCGCACGCAGGCUUAGAUCCGGGGAUCCCCGAAUGGGACCUCCUGCUAGGGGUGAACCCCUAGCGCUCCCGGCAGGGAGCGGGAACCCCCCGAAUUGAAGCAUCUCAGUAGGGGGAGGAAAAGAAACCAAACGGGAUGCCCUGAGUACCGGCGAGGGAAAGGGGCAGAGUUCAAACCGAACGCCUUCAGGCAACUGAAGGCGGAUGUGGGGUUGUGGGGGUGGCCACUUGCCUCCUGCCAGGGAAGCCGAAGUGGCCUGGAACGGCCCGCCAUAGAGGGUGAGAGCCCCGUAGGCGUAACCUGGUAGGAGGCUGGCCACUUCCCGAGUACCGUGGGUUGGAAUACCCGCGGGAAGCUGGGGGUCAUCGACCUCCAAAACUAAAUACGUCCCGAGACCGAUAGCGAACUA
rnacentral:rRNA from 1 species